UACGGAGGAUCCAAGCGUUAUCCGGAUUUAUUGGGUUUAAAGGGAGCGUAGGCGGCCAAUUAAGUCAGGGGUGAAAUACGGUGGCUCAACCAUCGCAGUGCCUUUGAUACUGAUUGGCUUGAAUGUAGUUGAGGUAGGCGGAAUGUGACGAGUAGCGGUGAAAUGCAUAGAUAUGUCACAGAACACCGAUUGCGAAGGCAGCUUACUAAGCUAUAAUUGACUCUGAGGCUCGAAAGCGUGUGGAUCAAACAGG
rnacentral:rRNA from 1 species